rnacentral:rRNA from 1 species
ACACAUGCAAGUCGAGGGGCAGCAUUUUAGUUUGCUUGCAAACUGAAGAUGGCGACCGGCGCACGGGUGAGUAACACGUAUCCAACCUACCGAUAACUCCGGAAUAGCCUUUCGAAAGAAAGAUUAAUACCGGAUAGCAUACGAAUAUCGCAUGAUAUUUUUAUUAAAGAAUUUCGGUUAUCAAUGGGGAUGCGUUCCAUUAGUUUGUUGGCGGGGUAACGGCCCACCAAGACUACGAUGGAUAGGGGUUCUGAGAGGAAGGUCCCCCACAUUGGAACUGAGACACGGUCCAAACUCCUACGGGAGGCAGCAGUGAGGAAUAUUGGUCAAUGGGCGAGAGCCUGAACCAGCCAAGUAGCGUGAAGGAUGAAGGCUCUAUGGGUCGUAAACUUCUUUUAUAUGGGAAUAAAGUUUUCCACGUGUGGAAUUUUGUAUGUACCAUAUGAAUAAGGAUCGGCUAACUCCGUGCCAGCAGCCGCGGUAAUACGGAGGAUCCGAGCGUUAUCCGGAUUUAUUGGGUUUAAAGGGAGCGUAGGUGGAUUGUUAAGUCAGUUGUGAAAGUUUGCGGCUCAACCGUAAAAUUGCAGUUGAAACUGGCAGUCUUGAGUACAGUAGAGGUGGGCGGAAUUCGUGGUGUAGCGGUGAAAUGCUUAGAUAUCACGAAGAACUCCGAUUGCGAAGGCAGCUCA